rnacentral:lncRNA from 1 species
CAUUUUACUCUGACCCUUCUUUGAUCAUUGUGGAUCUUAUCCAGUUGACAACCUCUCUCAAUUGCAUACUUGCUAAAAGCUUCUAUGAAUUUUUUUACAUUUUCAAAUACCAUAUUAAGUUGCCACACAACUUUUUUCCAUGUUGGAUCAUAUGAGACCCUUUUGUCCUUCUUUCUUGCCCUUAAAAUAUCAGAUCUUUCAACAUUUAUUUCCCCCUCACUUUCACUUUCAAAACUAUCGACAUCAGAACUGUCGUAAAAAGGCUCAUCACCUACUAGCUUACCAGUUAAAUUUUUCUUGGGUUUAUCAAUGUCUUCAAAACCAGGAUCUAUGCCAACUUCUCCCAAAAAACACUAAGCAAUUUUUUUUUACUUGGCUCUUAUUUUUUCUUCAAAUAUGCUUCCAAAUCCUUCUUAACUAUGCU